rnacentral:rRNA from 1 species
GAUGAACGCUGACAGAAUGCUUAACACAUGCAAGUCAACUUGAAUUUGGGUGUUUUCACUUAGAUUUGGGUGGCGGGCGGGUGAGUAACGCGUAAGAAAUUGCCCCCCAGCCAGGGACAACACUUGGAAACGAAGGGUAAUACCCGAUAUUAUGACUAUUAGGCCAUGUUGAAGUUUGAAAGGUAUAUGCGCUGGGGGAGGGCUUUGCGUCCCAUUAGCUUGUUGGAGAGGUAACGGCUCACCAAGGCGAUGACGGGUAGCCGGCCUGAGAGGGUGAACGGCAACAAGGGGACUGAGACACGGCCCGUACUCCUACGGGAGGCAGCAGUGGGGAAUAUUGGACAAUGGACCAAGAGUCUGAUCCAGCAAUUCUGUGUGCACGAUGACGUUUUUCGGAAUGUAAAGUGCUUUCAGUUGGGAAGAAAAAAAUGACGGUACCAACAGAAGAAGUGACGGCUAAAUACGUG